GUGGGUUUAGCUCAGUGGCAGAGCACGUGCUUAGCAAUGCAUGAGGUCCUGGGUUCAAUCACCAGUACCUCCA
rnacentral:tRNA from 1 species